rnacentral:rRNA from 1 species
GGUCAAGCGAAUAAGCGCACACGGUGGAUGCCUUGGCGGUCAGAGGCGAUGAAGGACGUGGCAGCCUGCGAAAAGUAUCGGGGAGCUGGCAACAAGCUUUGAUCCGGUAAUGUCCGAAUGGGGAAACCCACCCGCUUGCGGGUAUCCUGCAGUGAAUACAUAGCUGCUGGAAGCGAACCUGGUGAACUGAAAUAUCUAAGUAACCAGAGGAAAAGAAAUCAACCGAGAUUCCGUAAGUAGCGACGAGCGAACGCGGACUAGCCCUUAAGCUGAUUUGGUUCUAGGAAAACGCUCUGGAAAGAGCGGCCAUAGAAGGUGAUAGCCCUGUAUCUGAAAGGGCCAUUUCAGUGAAGACGAGUAGGGCGGGGCACGUGAAACCCUGUCUGAACAUGGGGGGACCAUCCUCCAAGGCUAAAUACUACUGACCGACCGAUAGUGAACCAGUACCGUGAGGGAAAGGCGAAAAGAACCCCGGAGAGGGGAGUGAAAUAGAACCUGAAACCGUGUGCGUACAAGCAGUAGGAGCUCCGCAAGGAGUGACUGCGUACCUUUUGUAUAAUGGGUCAGCGACUUACUGUUCGUGGCAAGCUUAACCGUAUAGGGGAGGCGAAGGGAAACCGAGUCUGAUAAGGGCGCAUAGUCGCGGGCAGUAGACCCGAAACCGGGUGAUCUAGUCAUGCCCAGGGUGAAGGUGCGGUAACACGCACUGGAGGCCCGAACCCACUCCCGUUGCAAAGGUAGGGGAUGAGGUGUGAUUAGGAGUGAAAAGCUAAUCGAACCCGGAGAUAGCUGGUUCUCCUCGAAAGCUAUUUAGGUAGCGCCUCAUAUGUAUCCUCUCGGGGGUAGAGCACUGUUAUGGCUAGGGGGUCAUCGCGACUUACCAAACCAUUGCAAACUCCGAAUACCGAGACGGACUGUAUGGGAGACACACGGCGGGUGCUAACGUCCGUCGUGAAAAGGGAAACAACCCAGACCCACAGCUAAGGUCCCAAAUUUUGUGCUAAGUGGAAAACCAUGUGGAAAGGCACAGACAGCCAGGAGGUUGGCUUAGAAGCAGCCACCCUUUAAAGAAAGCGUAAUAGCUCACUGGUCGAGUCGGUCUGCGGGGAAGAUUUAACGGGGCUAAGCACAGAACCGAAGCUUGGGGUGCAUAACUUUGUUAUGCGCGGUAGAGGAGCGUUCCGUAAGCCGUUGAAGGUGGAUUGAGAAGUCUGCUGGAGGUAUCGGAAGUGCGAAUGCUGACAUGAGUAACGAUAAUGCGGGUGAAAAACCCGCACGCCGAAAGCCCAAGGUUUCCUUGCGCAACGUUAAUCGGCGCAGGGUGAGUCGGCCCCUAAGGCGAGGACGAAAGUCGUAGUCGAUGGGAAGCAGGUUAAUAUUCCUGCACCUCGCGUAAGUGCGAUGGAGGGACGAAGAAGGUUAGGUGUACCAGGCGUUGGUUGUCCUGGGGAAAGGCGGUAGGUUUGGAUCUUUGGCAAAUCCGGGAUCCUUUAAGACCGAGCACCGAGACGAGCCUUUAAGGCGAAGUCACUGAUACCACGCUUCCAGGAAAAGCUCCUAAGCUUCAGCUUACGCAGACCGUACCGUAAACCGACACAGGUGGGUAGGAUGAGAAUUCUCAGGCGCUUGAGAGAACUCGGGUGAAGGAACUAGGCAACAUGGCACCGUAACUUCGGGAGAAGGUGCACCCUUUUUGGUGGCUCGUGCGAGCUAUAGCUGAAGAGGGUCGCAGUAACCAGGCCGCUGCGACUGUUUAUCAAAAACACAGCACUCUGCAAACACGAAAGUGGACGUAUAGGGUGUGACGCCUGCCCGGUGCUGGAAGGUUAAUUGAUGGGGUCAGCCGCAAGGCGAAGCUCUUGAUCGAAGCCCCAGUAAACGGCGGCCGUAACUAUAACGGUCCUAAGGUAGCGAAAUUCCUUGUCGGGUAAGUUCCGACCUGCACGAAUGGCGUAACGACAGCGGCGCUGUCUCCACCCGAGACUCAGUGAAAUUGAAAUCGCUGUGAAGAUGCAGCGUUCCCGUGGCAAGACGGAAAGACCCCGUGAACCUUUACUAUAGCUUUACACUGAACGUUGAGUUCGUCUGUGUAGGAUAGGUGGGAGGCUAUGAAACUGUGGCGCUAGCUGCAGUGGAGCCAUCCUUGAAAUACCACCCUGUCGUGCUUGACGUUCUAACCUGGGCCCAUUAUCUGGGUCGGGGACCGUGUAUGGUGGGUAGUUUGACUGGGGCGGUCUCCUCCUAAAGAGUAACGGAGGAGCUCGAAGGUACGCUCAGCGCGGUCGGACAUCGCGCACUGUGUGCAAAGGCAUAAGCGUGCUUGACUGCAAGAUCGACGGAUCAAGCAGGUAGGAAACUAGGACUUAGUGAUCCGGUGGUUCUGUAUGGAAGGGCCAUCGCUCAACGGAUAAAAGGUACUCCGGGGAUAACAGGCUGAUACCGCCCAAGAGUUCAUAUCGACGGCGGUGUUUGGCACCUCGAUGUCGGCUCAUCACAUCCUGGGGCUGUAGUCGGUCCCAAGGGUAUGGCUGUUCGCCAUUUAAAGUGGUACGCGAGCUGGGUUCAGAACGUCGUGAGACAGUUCGGUCCCUAUCUGCCAUGGGCGUUGGAGAUUUGAGAGGGGCUGCUCCUAGUACGAGAGGACCGGAGUGGACGAACCUCUGGUGUUCCGGUUGUCACGCCAGUGGCAUUGCCGGGUAGCUAUGUUCGGAAGCGAUAACCGCUGAAAGCAUCUAAGCGGGAAGCGCGCCUCAAGAUGAGAUCUCCCGGGGCACAAGCCCCCUGAAGGAACCAUGUAGACUACGUGGUUGAUAGGUCAGGUGUGUAAGUACAGCAAUGUAUUGAGCUAACUGAUACUAAUGAUCCGUGCGGCUUGACCAU